AUCAACUUUAUCUAAAUUUUGAGAUGUGGAUCUGUCUCAUCAACAUUCUCGCGAGAUUUGGCACGGCGCCCCAUGAAUCUGUCCAAUCAUAUUUGCUCUUCCUGGAAAACACGCAUGCGCAUUUAGUGGGCGAAUGUGACUUGUAUCGAUUGGAGGAAACAAUUCAGCAUCGAAGGAAUAACGACUGAAACAACCUUUGUCUGUAUUCACAUCGUAUUGGAGUGUCAAAAUGACAAAACGAAAACCUGCAAAACGAUGGAGAAGAACCGGUAAAGAAGUUGACUCAAAUAAACGAUCAAGAAGGACUGUACAAUUGCCACCAAUGUGAAUGUGGAGACUGAUGAGCAAUGUCUAAAAGGUAGCAGCAGGGGAACAGAAGGAGUCCAAAACACUGCUCUUCAUAUGGAACACAUCCAACCUCCAGGUGUCCAUGCAGGAUGUACCACUCUGGAACAUCAAACCUCUCCCUACCCACCAGGUACACCCACCGUCUUCUGUGUCUAA